rnacentral:rRNA from 1 species
AACGCUGGCGGCGUGCUUCAGGCAUGCAAGUCGAACGGACCUUCGGGUCAGUGGCGGACGGGUGAGUAACACGUAAGCAACCUGCCCGGAAGUGGGGAAUAACCCACCGAAAGGUGAGCUAAUACCGCAUGUGAUGGCCUCUCCCUGGAGAGGCCAUGAAAGGCUUCGGUCGCUUCUGGAGGGGCUUGCGUUCGAUUAGCUAGUUGGUGGGGUAACGGCCUACCAAGGCGACGAUCGAUAGCUGGUCUGAGAGGAUGGACAGCCACACGGGGACUGAGAUACGGCCCCGACUCCUACGGGAGGCAGCAGCUAGGAAUCUUGGGAAUGGGCGAAAGCCUGACCCAGCAACGCCGCGUGGGCGAUGAAGGCCUUAGGGUCGUAAAGCCCUUUUGCAGGGGAAGAUGAUGACGGUACCCUGCGAAUAAGCCACGGCUAACUACGUGCCAGCAGCCGCGGUAAUACGUAGGUGGCAAGCGUUGUCCGGAUUUACUGGGCGUAAAGGGCGUGCAGGCGGUUCGUUAAGUCUAGGGUGAAAGCUCCCGGCUCAACUGGGAGAGGUCCUUGGAUACUGGCGGACUUGAGGGGGGUAGAGGAGAGUGGAAUUCUCGGUGUAGUGGUGAUAUGCGUAGAUAUCGAGAGGAACACCAGUGGCGAAGGCGGCUCUCUGGGCCCUACCUGACGCUGAGACGCGAAAGCGUGGGGAGCGAACCGGAUUAGAUACCCGGGUAGUCCACGCCGUAAACUAUGGACACUAGGUGUGGGGGGUAUCGACCCCCUCCGUGCCGAAGCUAACGCAAUAAGUGUCCCGCCUGGGGAGUACGGCCGCAAGGCUAAAACUCAAAGGAAUUGACGGGGGCCCGCACAAGCAGCGGAGCGUGCGGUUUAAUUCGUCGCAACGCGAAGAACCUUACCAAGGCUUGACAUGCUAGUGGUACCGAUCCGAAAGGUGAGGGACCCUUCGGGGAGCUAGCGCAGGUGCUGCAUGGCUGUCGUCAGCUCGUGCCGUGAGGUGUUGGGUUAAGUCCCGCAACGAGCGCAACCCUUGUCCUAUGUUGCCAGCGGAUUAUGCCGGGGACUCAUAGGAGACUGCCGGGGACAACUCGGAGGAAGGUGAGGACGACGUCAAGUCAUCAUGCCCCUUAUAUCCAGGGCUGCACGCAUGCUACAAUGGCCUGUACAACGGGCAGCGAUCUCGUGAGAGUGAGCGAAUCCCUUAAAGCAGGCCCCAGUUCGGAUUGAAGUCUGCAACUCGACUUCAUGAAGCCGGAGUCGCUAGUAAUCGCGGAUCAGCAAAGCCGCGGUGAAUACGUUCUCGGGGAUUGUACACACCGCCCGUCAAGUCACGGAAGUUGGCAAUACCCAAAGUCAGUGGCCUAACCCUUCGGGGAGGGAGCUGCCUAAGGUGGGGUCGGUAACUGGGACUAAGUCGUAACAAGGUAAC